rnacentral:rRNA from 1 species
UGGGGAAUAUUGGACAAUGGGCGAAAGCCUGAUCCAGCCAUGCCGCGUGUGUGAAGAAGGCCUUUUGGUUGUAAAGCACUUUAAGUGGGGAGGAAAAGCUUGUGGUUAAUACCCAUAAGCCCUGACGUCACCCACAGAAUAAGCACCGGCUAACUCUGUGCCAGCAGCCGCGGUAAUACAGAGGGUGCAAGCGUUAAUCGGAAUUACUGGGCGUAAAGCGCGCGUAGGUGGUUAUUUAAGUCAGAUGUGAAAGCCCCGGGCUUAACCUGGGAACUGCAUCUGAUACUGGAUAACUAGAGUAGGUGAGAGGGGAGUAGAAUUCCAGGUGUAGCGGUGAAAUGCGUAGAGAUCUGGAGGAAUACCGAUGGCGAAGGCAGCUCCCUGGCAUCAUACUGACACUGAGGUGCGAAAGCGUGGGUAGCAAACAGGAUUAGAUACCCUGGUAGUCCACGCCGUAAACGAUGUCUACCAGUCGUUGGGUCUUUUAAAGACUUAGUGACGCAGUUAACGCAAUAAGUAGACCGCCUGGGGAGUACGGCCGCAAGGUUA